CUUUCCGCGGGGAGGAAUGGAUUAAAGUUAAUACCUUUGCUCAUUGACGUUACCCGCAGAAGAAGCACCGGCUAACUCCGUGCCAGCAGCCGAGGUAAUACGGAGGGUGAAGCGUUAAUCCAAAUUACUGGGCGUAAAGCGCACGCAGGCGGUUUGUUAAGUCAGAUGUGAAAUCCCCGGGCUCAACCUGGGAACUGCAUCUGAUACUGGCAAGCUUGAGUCUCGUAGAGGGGGGUAGAAUUCCAGGGGUAGCGGUGAAUGCGUAGAG
rnacentral:rRNA from 1 species